CUGGAUGAUGAUCAACCGACAACGGAAAGGCAUUCCUCAAUCCGAACACAUGGUGUCGAAUCUGUCAAAAACAAAGUUUCAGCCUUGUCUGACC
rnacentral:snoRNA from 1 species